GUUCUUAUUGUUUAGCUGCUAAAGUCUGUAUUGUGUUGGCUUCGGCUUCACAAUGCUACCUUAAUCAGUGUUUUGAAAGGCGCACGCUAGGCGCAAGGGGCAACAGAGGCUGCGCCUCUGACCAGGGGAGGCGAGUGCCCUCAUCCAGGGGCACCCGGGCACAGCAAGGAGCAAGACACGCCUAGGCACGCUCAAAUGAGGUGAGGCAGGCCUAUAAAAGGGCAUAAAAACAGAACCCUAA
rnacentral:misc_RNA from 1 species